UGUAAUGCGGGAGAUCACGGGA
rnacentral:siRNA from 1 species